rnacentral:rRNA from 1 species
UACGUAGGGUGCGAGCGUUACUCGGAAUUACUGGGCGUAAAGCGUGCGCAGGCGGUUUUGUAAGCCAGGUGUGAAAGCCCCGGGCUUAACCUGGGAAUGGCAUUUGGGACUGCAAGGCUGGAGUGUGGCAGAGGAGACUGGAAUUCCUGGUGUAGCAGUGAAAUGCGUAGAUAUCAGGAGGAAUACCGAUGGCGAAGGCAGGUCUCUGGGCUGACACUGACGCUCAUGCACGAAAGCGUGGGGAGCAAACAGG